AUUGAACGCUGGCGGCAUGCUUUACACAUGCAAGUCGAACGGUAACAGGCCUUCGGGUGCUGACGAGUGGCGCACGGGUGAGUAAUGCAUCGGAACGUACCCAGAGGUGGGGGAUAACGCAGCGAAAGCUGUGCUAAUACCGCAUGUGAUCUGAGGAUGAAAGCGGGGGACCGAGCAGCAAUGUUUGGCCUCGCGCCUUUGGAGCGGCCGAUGUCGGAUUAGCUAGUUGGUGGGGUAAAGGCCUACCAAGGCGACGAUCCGUAGCUGGUCUGAGAGGACGACCAGCCACACUGGGACUGAGACACGGCCCAGACUCCUACGGGAGGCAGCAAUGGGGAAUUUUGGACAAUGGGCGCAAGCCUGAUCCAGCAAUGCCGCGUGCGGGAAGAAGGCCUUCGGGUUGUAAACCGCUUUUGGCAGGAACGAAACGGUGUCCGCUAAUACCGGGCGCUAAUGACGGUACCUGCAGAAUAAGCACCGGCUAACUACGUG
rnacentral:rRNA from 1 species